rnacentral:rRNA from 1 species
AUUGAACGCUGGCGGCAGGCCUAACACAUGCAAGUCGAGCGGAUGAAGUGAGCUUGCUCCUGGAUUCAGCGGCGGACGGGUGUGUAAUGCCUAGGAAUCUGCCUCGUCGUGGUUGAUAACGUCCGGAAACGGGCGCUACUACCGCAUACGUCCUGCGGGAGAACGUGGGGGAUCUUCGGACCUCACGCUAUCAGAUGAGCCAAGGUCGGAUUAGCUAGUUGGUGGUGUAAAGGCCUAACAGGGCGACGAUCCGUAACUGGUCUGAGAGGAUGAUCAGUCAAACUGGAACUGAGACACGGACCAGACGCCUACGGGAGGCAGCAGUGGGGAAGAGGGGACAAUGGGCGAAAGGCUGAAACAGCCAUGCAGCGUGUGUGAAGAAGGUAUGCGGAUUGUAAAGCACUUUAAGUUGGGAGGAAGGGCAGUAAGUUAAUACAUGGCUGUUUUGACGGUACCAAGAGAAGAAGCACCGGCUAACUACGUG